UUUUAAUGAUGAUACUAUAAAAUAUAAUGGGUAAUUUACGUCUGAAAAUUAUUGAUGACCACAUAUAGACAUCUGAAAAAA